rnacentral:sRNA from 1 species
ACUAAUUUAUAAAAAAACAAAAAGCAGCAAAGAAGUGCCGACAGCAAAACCAGAUAUCAUCGCUAUGAAAGUCGAAUGAUGCCAGACAAGAGCUGGCCAACACCGGAAAGAGCUGGUAGUUGCCAGAUGAUAAUCCCUAUUGGCAGGCAAAGCCAGAAAAAAUCUGGACGGCCAUAAAAGUCUUUAGCUUUUUCUCUUUGAAAAUUUUGAGAGAGAGAAGAGAGAGAAAGCUUUUCCGUAUUUAUUUAUUUCCUAUAACCAACUCCAACAAGGGAUUCUUAUCUAAAAUUCUAAACAUUUUUGAUAUACAAAAGAAUAAUUGAAUAUGAAAGGGUUCUUAAAAAAUGAAAGAAUA